UACGGAGGGGGCUAGCGUUAAUCGGAAUUACUGGGCGUAAAGCGUGCGCAGGCGGCUUUGCAAGACAGAUGUGAAAUCCCCGGGCUCAACCUGGGAACUGCAUUUGUGACUGCAUGGCUGGAGUGCGGCAGAGGGGGAUGGAAUUCCGCGUGUAGCAGUGAAAUGCGUAGAUAUGCGGAGGAACACCGAUGGCGAAGGCAAUCCCCUGGGCCUGCACUGACGCUCAUGCACGAAAGCGUGGGGAGCAAACAGG
rnacentral:rRNA from 1 species